GUUAUAUGGUCAAGUAGAAAAGCGCACACGGUGGAUGCCUUGGCGAUAACAGGCGAUGAAGGACGUGAUAGCCUGCGAAAAGCUGCGGCGAGUUGGCAAAUAAACAUUGACCCGCAGAUGUCCGAAUGGGGAAACCCACUCCUUUGGAGUAUUCUUAUCUGAAUCUAUAGGGUAAGAAAGCAAACCUAGGGAACUGAAACAUCUAAGUACCUAGAGGAAAAGAAAUCAACCGAGAUUCCGUCAGUAGUGGCGAGCGAAAGCGGAACAGCCCGUAUGAUAUAGUCGUAUUAUGAGCAGAAUGGUCUGGAAAGUCCAGCGACACAGGGUGAUAGCCCCGUAGGCAAACAUAAAACGAUAGAACUAAGCAUACAUAGAGUAAGGCGGGACACGAGAAAUCCUGUCUGAACAUGGGGGGCCCAUCCUCCAAGGCUAAAUACUCGUUAUCGACCGAUAGUGAACCAGUACCGUGAGGGAAAGGUGAAAAGAACCCCAGCGAGGGGAGUGAAAUAGACCCUGAAACCGUGUGCGUACAAGCAGUGGGAGCAUUUGAAGAAAUGUGACUGCGUACCUUUUGUAUAAUGGGUCAGCGACUUACUGGCAGUGGCAAGCUUAACCAUCAGGUAGGCCUAGCGAAAGCGAGUCUGAAUAGGGCGUUAAGUCGCUGUCAGUAGACCCGAAACCGGGCGAUCUAGCCAUGAGCAGGAUGAAAGUCGGGUAACACCAACUGGAGGUCCGAACCCACGUCUGUUGAAAAAGACGGGGAUGACUUGUGGCUAGGAGUGAAAGGCUAAUCAAGCUCGGAGAUAGCUGGUUCUCCUCGAAAGCUAUUUAGGUAGCGCCUUGCGUUUUACUCUCGGGGGUAGAGCACUGUUUGGGCUAGGGGGGCAUCUCGCUUUACCAACCCCAUGCAAACUUCGAAUACCGAGAAGUACCAUCGCAGGAGACACACGGCGGGUGCUAACGUCCGUCGUGAAAAGGGAAACAACCCAGACCGCCAGCUAAGGUCCCCAAAUGAACGCUCAGUGGGAAACGAUGUGGAAAGUCACAGACAGCCAGGAGGUUGGCUUAGAAGCAGCCACCCUUUAAAGAAAGCGUAAUAGCUCACUGGUCGAGUCGGUCUGCGCGAAAGAUAUAACGGGGCUCAAGCGUUCUACCGAAGCUGCGGAUGCCGUAAGGCAUGGUAGGGGAGCGUUCUGUAAGCCUGUGAAGGUCUGCUGUGAGGCAGACUGGAGGUAUCAGAAGUGCGAAUGCUGACAUAAGUAGCGAUCAUGCGGGUGAAAAACCCGCACGCCGAAAGUCCAAGGUUUCCUGCGCCACGUUAAUCGACGCAGGGUGAGUCGGUCCCUAAGGCGAGGCAGAUAUGCGUAGCCGAUGGAAAACGGGUUAAUAUUCCCGUACUUUGCUGCACUGCGAUGAGGGGACGAAGAAGGCUAAGUCAGCACGCGAUUGGUUGUGCGUGUUUAAGGUGGUAGGCAGAAUCGGUAGGCAAAUCCGCUGGUUUAAUGCCGAGAACUGACGACGAGUCUCGUUUCAGAGACGAAGUGACUGAUGCCCUGCUUCCAAGAAAAGCCUCUAAGCUUCAGGUGUAGUAGAACCGUACCCCAAACCGACACAGGUGGACAGGGUGAGAAUCCCAAGGUGUUUGAGAGAACUCGGGUGAAGGAACUAGGCAAAAUAGCACCGUAACUUCGGGAGAAGGUGUACCUUCUGGAUGAACCCUGCACAGGGGAAGUCUAAGAAGGUCGCAGUGACCAGGUGGCUGCGACUGUUUAUUAAAAACACAGCACUCUGCUAACACGAAAGUGGACGUAUAGGGUGUGACGCCUGCCCGGUGCUGGAAGGUUAAUUGAUGGGUUAGCGAAAAGCGAAGCUCUUGAUCGAGCCCCAGUAAACGGCGGCCGUAACUAUAACGGUCCUAAGGUAGCGAAAUUCCUUGUCGGGUAAGUUCCGACCUGCACGAAUGGCGUAACGAUGGCCACACUGUCUCCACCCGAGACUCAGCGAAUUGAAUUUGCGGUGAAGAUGCCGUAUACCCGCGACUAGACGGAAAGACCCCAUGAACCUUUACUAUAGCUUUACACUGGACUUUGAACCGACUUGUGUAGGAUAGGUGGGAGGCUGUGAAACACUCACGCCAGUGCGUGCGGAGCCAACCUUGAAAUACCACCCUGGUCUGUUCGGGUUCUAACUUGAUACUGUUACCCAGUAUAAGGACCGUGUAUGGUGGGUAGUUUGACUGGGGCGGUCUCCUCCCAAAGAGUAACGGAGGAGUGCGAAGGUACCCUCAGCGCGGUCGGAAAUCGCGCAUUG
rnacentral:rRNA from 2 species